rnacentral:rRNA from 1 species
UACAGAGGUGCCAAGCGUUAGGCGGAAUCACUGGGCUUAAAGCGUGUGUAGGCGGGUCGUUAAGUACCUUGUGAAAUCCCCCGGCUCAACCGGGGAACGGCUGGGUAUACUGGCGAUCUUGAGCCACCUAGGGGCAGUCGGAACAAGUGGUGGAGCGGUGAAAUGCGUAGAUAUCACUUGGAACGCCAAUGGUGAAAACAGACUGCUGGGGGUGUGCUGACGCUGAGACACGAAAGCCAGGGGAGCAAACGGG